AUUGAAUGCUGGCGGCAGGCCUAACACAUGCAAGUCGAACGAGUGGCGGACGGGUGAGUAAUGUCUGGGAAUCUGCCCGAUGGAGGGGGAUAACUACUGGAAACGGUAGCUAAUACCGCAUACUAUCAGAUGAGCCCAGAUGGGAUUAGCUUGUUGGGGGGGUAACGGCUCACCAAGGCGACGAUCCCUAGCUGGUCUGAGAGGAUGACCAGCCACACUGGAACUGAGACACGGUCCAGACUCCGACGGGAGGCAGCAGUGGGGAAUAUUGCACAAUGGGCGAAAGCCUGAUGCAGCCAUGCCGCGUGUAUGAAGAAGGUCUUCGGGUUGUAAAGUACUUUCAGCGGGGAGGCGUUACCCGCAGAAGAAGCACCGGCUAACUCCGUGCCAGCAGCCGCGGUAAUAC
rnacentral:rRNA from 1 species